GCCAGGUUGCUAACCCUGACUCAGCAUCAAUAAUCCCAUCUUAUUGAGCAAUUACUACCUGUCCAGCUCUGUGCUGAGCACUGCAGAGGAUAAGCCUGGGCCAGGUGCUCAAGGAAACUAGAACCAGAAGUCUUACCCUUCAAGAAAUGGGGAAGAGUGUGCAGUAGGUAAGAAUAUAGGUUUGAGGAGCACCUGGGUGGC